rnacentral:rRNA from 1 species
CCUACGGGUGGCAGCAGUGAGGAAUAUUGGUCAAUGGGCGCGAGCCUGAACCAGCCAAGUCGCGUGAGGGAAGACGGUCCUAUGGAUUGUACACCUCUUUUGUCGGGGAGCAAAAGACGCCACGCGUGGCGUUCCGAGAGUACCCGAAGGAACAGCAUCGGCAAACUCCGGUCCAUCAGCCGCGGUAAUACGGAGGAUUCGAGCGUUACCCGGAUUUAUUGGGUUUAAGGGGUUCGCAGGCGGAAGAUCAAGUCAGCGGUAAAAUUGAGAGGCUCAACCUCUUCGAGCCGUUGAAACUGGUUUUCUUGAGUGAGCGAGAAGUAUGCGGAAUGCGUGGUGUAGCGGUGAAAUGCAUAGAUAUCACGCAGAACUCCGAUUGCGAAGGCAGCAUACCGGCGCUCAACUGACGCUCAUGCACGAAAGUGUGGGUAUCGAACAGGAUUAGAUACCCGAGUAGUC